AUUGAACGCUGGCGGAAUGCUUUACACAUGCAAGUCGAGCGGCAGCGCGGGGGCAACCCUGGCGGCGAGCGGCGAACGGGUGAGUAACAUAUCGGAACGUACCCCGUCGUGGGGGAUAACACAGCGAAAGCUGUGCUAAUACCGCAUACGACCUGAGGGUGAAAGCGGGGGAUCGCAAGACCUCGCGCGAUGGGAGCGGCCGAUAUCGGAUUAGCUUGUUGGUGAGGUAAAGGCUCACCAAGGCGACGAUCCGUAGCUGGUCUGAGAGGACGACCAGCCACACUGGAACUGAGACACGGUCCAGACUCCUACGGGAGGCAGCAGUGGGGAAUUUUGGACAAUGGGGGCAACCCUGAUCCAGCCAUUCCGCGUGAGUGAAGAAGGCCUUCGGUCUGUAAGACUCUUUUGUGUAGGGUAAGGAAAUAGACGCGUGAGGAAAUAGCUCGCGUCUUGACGGUACCUC
rnacentral:rRNA from 1 species